rnacentral:rRNA from 1 species
GACGAACGCUGGCGGCGUGCCUAAUACAUGCAAGUUGAGCGCUGAAGGUUGGUUCUUGUACCAACUGGAUGAGCAGCGAACGGGUGAGUAACGCGUGGGGAAUCUGCCUUUGAGCGGGGGACAACAUUUGGAAACGAAUGCUAAUACCGCAUAAAAACUUUAAACACAAGUUUUAAGUUUGAAAGAUGCAAUUGCAUCACUCAAAGAUGAUCCCGCGUUGUAUUAGCUAGUUGGUGAGGUAAAGGCACACCAAGGCGAGGAUACAUAGCCGACCUGAGAGGGUGAGCGGCCAGAUUGGGAAGGAGACACGGCCCAAACGGCUACGGGAGGCAGCAGUAGGGAAUCUGCGGCAAUGGACGAAAGUCUGACCGAGCAACGCCGCGAGAGUGAAGAAGGGUUGCGGAUCGUAAAACGCUGUCGGUAGAGAAGAACGCUGGUGAGGGUGGAAAGCUCAUCAAGGGACGGUAACUAACCAGAAAGGGACGGCCAACUACGUG